UACGGGGGGGGUAAGCGUUGUUCGGAAUUACUGGGCGUAAAGGGCUCGUAGGCGGCCAACUAAGUCAUACGUGAAAUCCCUCAGCUUAACUGGGGAACUGCGUGUGAUACUGGAUGGCUUGGAUUUGGGAGAGGGAUGCGGAAUUCCAGGUGUAGCGGUGAAAUGCGUAGAUAUCGGGAGGAACAUCAGUGGCGAAGGCGGCCUUCUGGUCCAGUACUGACACUCAAGUGCGAAAGCGUGGGGAGCAAACAGG
rnacentral:rRNA from 1 species